AAGUCGUAACAAGGUUUCCGUAGGUGAACCUGCGGAAGGAUCAUUAACACGUAUCCAAACGUUAAAACCCCCCCCGUGAACCUUCAGCCUGCUCUUGUAACCCGCGUAGUUCGCAAUCUCUGAUAAGUCAUAGCCCGGAAAGUUGUAGUGAUUCAGAGACCUCUGGCUACGUGCGAACAUUGGAAUCAAUGUAAUACAUUGGGUAAAAAAACCGAACAACUGUUAACAAUGGAUACCUUGGUUCUC
rnacentral:misc_RNA from 1 species